rnacentral:tRNA from 1 species
GAGACUUUAGUUUAAUUGGUAAAAUUUGUGACUUUUAAUCAUCAAUACGCUGGUUCAAGUCCCGCAGGUCUUAC